GACGAACGCUGGCGGCGUGCUUAACACAUGCAAGUCGAACGGAAAGGCCCUGCUUUUGUGGGGUGCUCGAGUGGCGAACGGGUGAGUAACACGUGAGUAACCUGCCCUUGACUUUGGGAUAACUUCAGGAAACUGGGGCUAAUACCGGAUAGGAGCUCCUGCUGCAUGGUGGGGGUUGGAAAGUUUCGGCGGUUGGGGAUGGACUCGCGGCUUAUCAGCUUGUUGGUGGGGUAGUGGCUUACCAAGGCUUUGACGGGUAGCCGGCCUGAGAGGGUGACCGGCCACAUUGGGACUGAGAUACGGCCCAGACUCCUACGGGAGGCAGCAGUGGGGAAUAUUGCACAAUGGGCGGAAGCCUGAUGCAGCAACGCCGCGUGCGGGAUGACGGCCUUCGGGUUGUAAACCGCUUUCGCCUGUGACGAAGCGUGAGUGACGGUAAUGGGUAAAGAAGCACCGGCUAACUACGCGCCAGCAGCCGCGGUGAUACGUAGGGUGCGAGCGUUGUCCGGAUUUAUUGGGCGUAAAGGGCUCGUAGGUGGUUGAUCGCGUCGGAAGUGUAAUCUUGGGGCUUAACCCUGAGCGUGCUUUCGAUACGGGGUUGACUUGAGGAAGGUAGGGGGAGAAUGGAAUUCCUGGUGGAGCGGUGGAAUGCGCAGAAUUCAGGAGGAACACCAGUGGCGAAGGCGGUUCUCUGGGCCUUUCCUGACGCUGAGGAGCGAAAGCGUGGGGAGCGAACAGGCUUAGAUACCCUGAUAGUCCACGCUGUAAACGGUGGGUACUAGGUGUGGGGUCCAUUCCACGGGUUCCGUGCCGUAGCUAACGCUUUAAGUACCCCGCCUGGGGAGUACGGCCGCAAGGCUAAAACUCAAAGGAAUUGACGGGGCCCCGCACAAGCGGCGGAGCAUGCGGAUUAAUUCGAUGCAACGCGUAGAACCUUACCUGGGUUUGACAUGGAUCGGGAGUGCUCAGAGAUGGGUGUGCCUCUUUUGGGGUCGGUUCACAGGUGGUGCAUGGCUGUCGUCAGCUCGUGUCGUGAGAUGUUGGGUUAAGUCCCGCAACGAGCGCAACCCUUGUUCACUGUUGCCAGCACGUUAUGGUGGGGACUCAGUGGAGACCGCCGGGGUCAACUCGGAGGAAGGUGGGGAUGACGUCAAGUCAUCAUGCCCCUUAUGUCCAGGGCUUCACGCAUGCUACAAUGGCUGGUACAGAGAGUGGCGAGCCUGUGAGGGUGAGCGAAUCUCGGAAAGCCGGUCUCAGUUCGGAUUGGGGUCUGCAACUCGACCUCAUGAAGUCGGAGUCGCUAGUAAUCGCAGAUCAGCAACGCUGCGGUGAAUACGUUCCCGGG
rnacentral:rRNA from 1 species